CCUACGGGUGGCAGCAGUGAGGAAUAUUGGUCAAUGGGCGGGAGCCUGAACCAGCCAAGCCGCGUGAGGGAAGAAGGUACAGCGUAUCGUAAACCUCUUUUGUCAGGGAACAAAGGCGGGGACUAGUCCCCGGAUGAGGGUACCUGAAGAAAAAGCAUCGGCUAACACGGUGCCAGCCGCCGCGGUAAUAUGGAGGAUGCGAGCGUUCUCCGGAUUUGUUGGGUUUAAAGGGUGCGAAGGCGGCCUGUUAAGUCAGCGGUAAAAGCCCGGGGCUCAACCCCGCCGCGCCGUUGAAACUGGCGGGCUGGAGUUGGGGAGAAGUACGCGGAAUGCGCGGUGUAGCGGUGAAAUGCUUAGAUAUCGCGCAGAACCCCGAUUGCGAAGGCAGCGUACCGGCUCCACACUGACGCUGAGGCACGAAAGCGUGGGUAUCGAACAGGAUUAGAUACCCCUGUAGUC
rnacentral:rRNA from 1 species